GGUUGGCGGAAUCAUGGCUCGUGCUGGGCUAGUUUUUCCCUUAAUUCUUGCUUCUCAGAUGUAUGUCCCUGGGAAGCUGCAUGAUGUGGAACACGUGCUCAUCGAUGUGGGAACUGGGUACUAUGUAGAGAAGGUGAGUGAGAGCAUGUGGAUGCCCCUCUGAACAGGGAAGGGAAAUUUAGGGGAAGCUCUAGAGUGCAGCAUGGCCAGAGGGAGUCUCCUUUUAGCCCCUCAUUCACCUCUGAUCUUGUAGACAGCUGAGGAUGCCAAGGACUUCUUCAAGAGGAAGAUAGAUUUUCUAACCAAGCAGAUGGAGAAAAUCCAACCAGCUCUUCAGGAGAAGCAUGCCAUGAAACAGGCCGUCAUGGAAAUGAUGAGUCAGAAGAUUCAGCAGCUCACAGCCCUGGGGGCAGCUCAGGCUACUGCUAAGGCCUGAGAGUUUUUGCAGAAAUGGGGCAGAGGGACACCCUUUGGGCGUGGCUUCCUGGUGCUGGGAAGGGUCUUGUGUUUUAAUGCCAAUAAAUGUGCCAGCUGGGC
rnacentral:sRNA from 1 species